GCUGGGCGUGGUGGCGCAUGCCUGUAAUCCCAGCUACUAGGGAGGCUGAGGCAGGAGAAUCGCUUGAACCUGGGAGGCGGAGGUUGCGGUGAGCCGAGAUCGAGCCAUUGCACUCCAGCCUGGGCAACAAGAGUGAAACUCCGUCUCAAAAAAGAAAAGAAAAGAAAUGAUCCCUCACCGAACCGAGCCUCAGUUCAGUGCGAAGGCUCUGAUGAUACUCUUUUUUUUUUUGAGACGGAGUCUCGUUCUGUUGCCCAGGCUGGAGUGCGGUGGCGCCAUCUCGGCUCACCGCAACC
rnacentral:lncRNA from 1 species